AAGGUUCGUCCGCCCUGGGUUAGUCGGGACCUAAGCUGAGGCCGAAAGGCGUAGGUGAUGGACAACAGGUUGAUAUUCCUGUACUACCGAUAACCGUUUGAGAGAUGGGAUGACACAGUAGGAUAAGCUAAGCACACUGUUGGUUAUGUGUGCCCAAGCAUUGAGGCAGUCAAAGUAGGUAAAUCCGCUUUGAUAAUGCUGGGAUGUGAUGGGGAGCGAAAUUUAGUAGCGAAGUAGCUGAUUUCACACUGUCAAGAAAAGUCUCUAUCGAGGUUAAAGGUACCCG
rnacentral:rRNA from 1 species